CUUUAGAAACAAAAAACAAUUGUGGUUCCUUUUUUACAUAUUAAAGCAAAUCUCAACGAACCCCAAAAAUGGAGAAUUACAUUACAAACAUUAUUAGUUACUCUUUGAUGUAAACAUUAAUUACAUCUGAAUUAAACAAGGUACCUACACCACAGUAUUCAGUUGAUGCUUUCUAAUCAUAAUCAAAGAAGAUUAGGUUAACCUCCUUCCUCGAGUACGCGCCUACUAUAAUAAUGUCGAACCGAAGUGAAUAUUUCAAAAAACUGGAAAUUGAAAGUUCGGAUGUAGCUGUGCGGUAUGAGGAAAAAAUAAAAUUAAUUGACGGAGUAAAUCUAUUUGCAAUAAAUAAUUGUGACCUGGAUUACGGUAUCGAAAAACUGCCACCAAUCAGCAGUAUAGAUAUUGUGGCAUAUUUGGUGCUAACUCACAGCUUUUAUACGAAGGACCAAAUGAAAGCUUAUAAAAGCUUGCUAGCGUUUAGGUACUUUGGAUCUGGGUUUGUGGAGAAAGUUGGCUGCAUGUACGUGAAGUGUUUUGUA